rnacentral:tRNA from 1 species
GGAGAGGUGAGUCGAAUGGUAAGACACAUGCCUGGAAAGCAUGAACCCCGCAAGGGGUUUGCAGGUUCGAGUCCUGUCCUCUCCG